CAGUAGCCGCGGGAAUACGAACCGUGCGAACGUUAUUCGGAAUUACUGGGCUUAAAGCGCGUGUAGGCGGGCCGGCACGUCCGACGCUGAAAUCCCCCGGCUCAACCGGGGAAGUGGCGGGGAUACGACCGGCCUCGAGGGGGGUAGGGGGACCUGGAACUUCCGGUGGAGCGGUGAAAUGCGCUGAGAUCGGAAGGAACGCCCGUGGCGAAAGCGAGGUCCUGGACCCUUUCUGACGCUGAGACGCGAAAGCCAGGGGAGCGAACGGGAUUAGAUACCCCCGUAGUCCCUGUCUCUUAUA
rnacentral:rRNA from 1 species